rnacentral:rRNA from 1 species
GAUGAACGCUGGCGGCGUGCCUAAUACAUGCAAGUCGAGCGAACGGACGAGAAGCUUGCUUCUCUGAUGUUAGCGGCGGACGGGUGAGUAACACGUGGAUAACCUACCUAUAAGACUGGGAUAACUUCGGGAAACCGGAGCUAAUACCGGAUAAUAUUUUGAACCGCAUGGUUCAAAAGUGAAAGAUGGUCUUGCUGUCACUUAUAGAUGGAUCCGCGCUGCAUUAGCUAGUUGGUAAGGUAACGGCUUACCAAGGCAACGAUGCAUAGCCGACCUGAGAGGGUGAUCGGCCACACUGGAACUGAGACACGGUCCAGACUCCUACGGGAGGCGGCAGUAGGGAAUCUUCCGCAAUGGGCGAAAGCCUGACGGAGCAACGCCGCGUGAGUGAUGAAGGUCUUCGGAUCGUAAAACUCUGUUAUUAGGGAAGAACAUAUGUGUAAGUAACUGUGCACAUCUUGACGGUACCUAAUCAGAAAGCCACGGCUAACUACGUG